rnacentral:rRNA from 1 species
AGAUUCCCUYWNUAACGGCGAGCGAAGAGGGAUAAGCUCAAAUUUUAAAUCUGUUGGGUUCCACUUAACAGAGUUGUAUUUUGAAGAAACGUUUUCUGCGUCCAGGAUUAGCCUAAAUCCUUUGGGAUAAGGUAUCAUGGAGGGUGAGAAUCCCGUUCAUGGUUAAUCUUAAGGAAGCUCUACGAUACGUUUUCCAAGAGUCGAGUUGUUUGGGAUUGCAGCUCAAAAUGGGAGGUAAAUUUCUCCUAAGGCUAAAUAUUGGCGAGAGACCGAUAGCGAACAAGUACCGUGAGGGAAAGAUGAAAAGAACUUUGAAAAGAGAGUUAAACAGUACGUGAAAUUGUUGAAAGGGAAACGAUUGAAGUCAGUCAUACCAACGGGAAAUCAACCUUUUGAGCUUGGUYUCGUGGGUUUUGAAGAGUUUCAAAGCCUUCGGAUUCGCGAGAUUGGGAUCUCUUGGUGUACUUUCUCGUACGGUUAGUCAACAUCGGUUUUGAAUGUCAUAAAAUGACUGGAGGAAUGUAGCUUCGAUCUCAGUAUUGAAGUGUUAUAGCCUUUGGUAGAUGUGAUGUUUGAGACCGAGGAUUGCAACAGGAUACCCUUCAGGGCUAUUCGUCUGAUCUCUGAUACUGUUGCCUUGAUGUUGAAAGCUUGCUUAUGAUGUUAGGGUAUUACGGUCAAAAGGUUAGAACGAAUUACAUUCGUUAAGGAUGUUGACGUAAUGACUUUAAACGACC